GGGAAACCACUGAUGUGAUUGAUAAAAACAAAGAAAGCAAGUUUGUUGUGAUACACCUUCGUUUUUAUCAAUCACAAGGAUAUGGCUGCCCAUUCAGCCUGUGAUUUUGGUGGGGGCAAAGCUGAAAAAUUGGCUCUGGCCAAGUACCGACAAGUAAUUUGGCAGGGAAGGGUCCUUAACUCGCAGUUCACUGAUGAAGAAUUGAGGAGUCAGGGCCGUUGCCCAUUGACACCUGAAGAGAUUGGAUUACUUCUCGCAGCUUUGGGCUUUGACAACAGUACUCAUCUAUACCUUGCUUCCCACAAGGUUUAUGGGGGGGAAGCUAGGAUAUCAACUUUACGAAAAUUGUUUCCGCUAAUGGAAGACAAAAAGAGUCUUGCUUCUUCAGAUGAACGUGCACAGAUCAAAAAGAAGGCUUCUCUGUUGGCUGCAGAGGAUUACUAUGUUGGCUUGCACAGUGACAUCUUCAUCUCUGCAGCCAACAGAGAAGCCUUCUUUUUG
rnacentral:misc_RNA from 1 species